rnacentral:rRNA from 1 species
UUAAGCGACUAAGCGUACACGGUGGAUGCCCUGGCAGUCAGAGGCGAUGAAGGACGUGCUAAUCUGCGAUAAGCGUCGGUAAGGUGAUAUGAACCGUUAUAACCGGCGAUUUCCGAAUGGGGAAACCCAGUGUGUUUCGACACACUAUCAUUAACUGAAUCCAUAGGUUAAUGAGGCGAACCGGGGGAACUGAAACAUCUAAGUACCCCGAGGAAAAGAAAUCAACCGAGAUUCCCCCAGUAGCGGCGAGCGAACGGGGAGCAGCCCAGAGCCUGAAUCAGUGUGUGUGUUAGUGGAAGCGUCUGGAAAGGCGCGCGAUACAGGGUGACAGCCCCGUACACAAAAAUGCACAUACUGUGAGCUCGAUGAGUAGGGCGGGACACGUGGUAUCCUGUCUGAAUAUGGGGGGACCAUCCUCCAAGGCUAAAUACUCCUGACUGACCGAUAGUGAACCAGUACCGUGAGGGAAAGGCGAAAAGAACCCCGGCGAGGGGAGUGAAAAAGAACCUGAAACCGUGUACGUACAAGCAGUGGGAGCCUCUUAAUGGGGUGACUGCGUACCUUUUGUAUAAUGGGUCAGCGACUUAUAUUCUGUAGCAAGGUUAACCGAAUAGGGGAGCCGAAGGGAAACCGAGUCUUAACUGGGCGUUAAGUUGCAGGGUAUAGACCCGAAACCCGGUGAUCUAGCCAUGGGCAGGUUGAAGGUUGGGUAACACUAACUGGAGGACCGAACCGACUAAUGUUGAAAAAUUAGCGGAUGACUUGUGGCUGGGGGUGAAAGGCCAAUCAAACCGGGAGAUAGCUGGUUCUCCCCGAAAGCUAUUUAGGUAGCGCCUCGUGAAUUCAUCUCCGGGGGUAGAGCACUGUUUCGGCAAGGGGGUCAUCCCGACUUACCAACCCGAUGCAAACUGCGAAUACCGGAGAAUGUUAUCACGGGAGACACACGGCGGGUGCUAACGUCCGUCGUGAAGAGGGAAACAACCCAGACCGCCAGCUAAGGUCCCAAAGUCAUGGUUAAGUGGGAAACGAUGUGGGAAGGCCCAGACAGCCAGGAUGUUGGCUUAGAAGCAGCCAUCAUUUAAAGAAAGCGUAAUAGCUCACUGGUCGAGUCGGCCUGCGCGGAAGAUGUAACGGGGCUAAACCAUGCACCGAAGCUGCGGCAGCGACACUAUGUGUUGUUGGGUAGGGGAGCGUUCUGUAAGCCUGCGAAGGUGUACUGUGAGGUAUGCUGGAGGUAUCAGAAGUGCGAAUGCUGACAUAAGUAACGAUAAAGCGGGUGAAAAGCCCGCUCGCCGGAAGACCAAGGGUUCCUGUCCAACGUUAAUCGGGGCAGGGUGAGUCGACCCCUAAGGCGAGGCCGAAAGGCGUAGUCGAUGGGAAACAGGUUAAUAUUCCUGUACUUGGUGUUACUGCGAAGGGGGGACGGAGAAGGCUAUGUUGGCCGGGCGACGGUUGUCCCGGUUUAAGCGUGUAGGCUGGUUUUCCAGGCAAAUCCGGAAAAUCAAGGCUGAGGCGUGAUGACGAGGCACUACGGUGCUGAAGCAACAAAUGCCCUGCUUCCAGGAAAAGCCUCUAAGCAUCAGGUAACAUCAAAUCGUACCCCAAACCGACACAGGUGGUCAGGUAGAGAAUACCAAGGCGCUUGAGAGAACUCGGGUGAAGGAACUAGGCAAAAUGGUGCCGUAACUUCGGGAGAAGGCACGCUGAUAUGUAGGUGAAGUCCCUUGCGGAUGGAGCUGAAAUCAGUCGAAGAUACCAGCUGGCUGCAACUGUUUAUUAAAAACACAGCACUGUGCAAACACGAAAGUGGACGUAUACGGUGUGACGCCUGCCCGGUGCCGGAAGGUUAAUUGAUGGGGUUAGCGGUAACGCGAAGCUCUUGAUCGAAGCCCCGGUAAACGGCGGCCGUAACUAUAACGGUCCUAAGGUAGCGAAAUUCCUUGUCGGGUAAGUUCCGACCUG